rnacentral:rRNA from 1 species
UACGGGGGGGGCAAGCGUUGUUCGGAAUUACUGGGCGUAAAGGGCGCGUAGGCGGCCUUCUAAGUCGGACGUGAAAUCCCUCGGCUUAACCGAGGAACUGCGUCCGAUACUGAAAGGCUUGAAUCCGGGAGAGGGAUGUGGAAUUCCAGGUGUAGCGGUGAAAUGCGUAGAUAUCUGGAGGAACACCGGUGGCGAAGGCGGCAUCCUGGACCGGUAUUGACGCUGAGGAGCGAAAGCGUGGGGAGCGAACAGG